rnacentral:rRNA from 1 species
GAUUUCCGCCCUAGAUUCUGACCGUAAAGUAUAGUGUUUCCUUAGGAGCAARACCAGUCAUUGACUGUUUGCUWACUCUGGAUAAUUCUGCAUAUCGCAUGGUCUUGUACCGGCGAAGUUUCUUUCAAGUAUCUGCUUUAUCAACUAUCGUUGGUAGUUUAUUGGACUACCAUGGUAUUGACGGGUAACGGAGGAUCAGGGUUUGACUCCGGAGAGGGAGCCUUAGAAACGGCUACCAUGUCUAAGGAUAGCAGCAGGCGCGAAAAUUACCCAAUAUCAGAACGAUGAGGUAGUGACGAGAAAUAACGAGAUCGUUCUCUUUGAGGUCGAUUAUUGGAAUGAGUACAAUCCAGAAAUUUUAACGAGUAUCAACGAGAGGGCAAGUCUGGUGCCAGCAGCCGCGGUAAUUCCAGCUCUCGUAAUGUAUAGAAUUAUUGUUGCGAUUAAAAAGUUCGUAGUUGGAUUGUUGAACUUGCAUGGGUCCAUCUUCGUGAUGUGUACUCAAUGCAAGUAUUUUGUUGGUUUUUGCGGCGUUGAUUCGUCAGCGUCCGUGAUGCCAGCAGGAUUACUUUGAACGGCUCAAGUGCUCAAAGCAAGUCUUAUGACUGAAUACCGGUGCAUGGAAUAAUGGAACAAGGUUGCGGCCGAGUUUUAUUGGUUUUGUCGGCUGAAACAAUGGUUAACAGGAACAGCCGGGGGCAUUCGUAUCGCUGCGCGAGAGGUGAAAUUCGUGGACCGUAGCGAGACGCCCGACAGCGAAGGCAUUUGCCAAGAGUGUUUUCAUUAAUCAAGAACGAAAGUCAGAGGUUCGAAGGCGAUUAGAUACCGCCCUAGUUCUGACCGUAAAGUCAUACUGUUUCUGA